GCCAGCGGCGAUAGCGCGUUGAAUGCACCAGUUCCCCGUUGUUCACUGAAGUUAAGCAACGUUGUGCGUGGUUCGUAUCCGGAUGGGUAGUCAUAUGGGAAAUCACGUGCUGCUGGCU
rfam:Asian citrus Psyllid, Diaphorina citri - Florida Strain, whole genome shotgun sequence.